GAAAAGGGGCACCCGAAUGGCAAGAAGGGGAACAAAGUUCUGGGACUAACCUAAGUCGCUCCGAAGGAUGCAGAAGGUGCGAGGACAGGGAUGACUCGAAGGACGCCUAGGGCCAAGGUAGACGCCAAGGAGGGUCAGGGCUCUCGAAGAAAAGGCGGAUACCGAUAGAACUUUCAGGCGGAAUAGGGACCCUAAAGGCAGAAGGAUGGGU
rnacentral:lncRNA from 1 species